CGGCGUGGAUAAGACAUGCAAGUCGAACGGGAGAAUUGCUAGCUUGCUAAUAAUUCUCUAGUGGCGCACGGGUGAGUAACACGUGAGUGACCUGCCUCUUAGUGGGGGAUAGCCCUGGGAAACCGGGAUUAAUACCGCAUACGAUUGAGAGAUCAAAGCAGCAAUGCGCUAGGAGAUGGGCUCGCGGCCUAUUAGUUAGUUGGUGAGGUAACGGCUCACCAAGGCGAUGACGGGUAGCCGGUCUGAGAGGAUGUCCGGCCACACUGGAACUGAGACACGGUCCAGACACCUACGGGUGGCAGCAGUCGAGAAUCAUUCACAAUGGGGGCAACCCUGAUGGUGCGACGCCGCGUGGGGGAAUGAAGGUCUUCGGAUUGUAAACCCCUGUCAUGUGGGAGCAAAUUAAAAAGAUAGUACCACAAGAGGAAGAGACGGCUAACUCUGUGCCAGCAGCCGCGGUAAUACAGAGGUCUCAAGCGUUGUUCGGAAUCACUGGGCGUAAAGCGUGCGUAGGCUGUUUCGUAAGUCGUGUGUGAAAGGCAGGGGCUCAACCCCUGGAUUGCACAUGAUACUGCGAGACUAGAGUAAUGGAGGGGGAACCGGAAUUCUCGGUGUAGCAGUGAAAUGCGUAGAUAUCGAGAGGAACACUCGUGGCGAAGGCGGGUUCCUGGACAUUAACUGACGCUGAGGCACGAAGGCCAGGGGAGCGAAAGGGAUUAGAUACCCCUGUAGUCCUGGCAGUAAACGGUGCACGCUUGGUGUGCGGGGAAUCGACCCCCUGCGUGCCGGAGCUAACGCGUUAAGCGUGCCGCCUGGGGAGUACGGUCGCAAGAUUAAAACUCAAAGAAAUUGACGGGGACCCGCACAAGCGGUGGAGUAUGUGGCUUAAUUCGAUGCAACGCGAAGAACCUUACCUGGGCUUGACAUGUAAUGAACAACAUGUGAAAGCAUGCGACUCUUCGGAGGCGUUACACAGGUGCUGCAUGGCCGUCGUCAGCUCGUGUCGUGAGAUGUUUGGUUAAGUCCAGCAACGAGCGCAACCCCUGUUGCCAGUUACCAGCACGUCAAGGUGGGGACUCUGGCGAGACUGCCCAGAUCAACUGGGAGGAAGGUGGGGACGACGUCAGGUCAGUAUGGCCCUUAUGCCCAGGGCUGCACACGUACUACAAUGCCCAGUACAGAGGGGGCCGAAGCCGCGAGGCGGAGGAAAUCCUGAAAACUGGGCCCAGUUCGGACUGUAGGCUGCAACCCGCCUACACGAAGCCGGAAUCGCUAGUAAUGGCGCAUCAGCUACGGCGCCGUGAAUACGUUCCCGGGUCUUGUACACACCGCCCGUCACAUCAUGGAAGCCGGUCGCACCCGAAGUAUCUGAAGCCAACCGCAAGGAGGCAGGGUCCUAAGGUGAGACUGGUAACUGGGAUGAAGUCAUAA
rnacentral:rRNA from 1 species